GGGCUGAUAGUUCAGUUGGAUAGAAUGCCCGGCUACGGACCGGGUGGUCGUGGGUUCGAAUUCCGCUCGGCCUA
rnacentral:tRNA from 1 species